CUCUGUCUCUCCCUCUCUCCUGCAACCCAUUCCCCCUCCUCCUUAGUCCACCCCCUCAAAACCCAAAUCCAAACCCAACCUGCAACCCACCCCCCAUCUUCCAACCCGCAGAACCCAGAACCCACCUGCAACCCCAUCCGCUCAAGCUCUCCUCCUCCGCUGCCGCCGUAACAGCGGCGGCGCCUAGGCUCCAGAAUGAACGCCGUGGCCAAAUCCAACGUCGUCAGCUUCUGCACCUGCUUCGCUAUCUACGCCAGGUGCUGCAACUCCAGCUUCACCACCGAGCUCAUGAUGGCCAUACAUCUACGAGUCCCCUCCACCUCUUGUGAAGUCACCACCACCACCGGUUUACAUUUAUGCAUCUCCCCCACCUCCAAUUCACUAUUAAGCAUAGACCGAUCAUGUUUUAAUUUAAACAGUGGAAUAAAGGAAGGCUCCCAAAGUGGAAAAUUGAGGCAUCAAGCUUCCAAUCCAAGUCCAUU